rnacentral:rRNA from 1 species
GUAACGACUCUCGGCAACGGAUAUCUCGGCUCUCGCAUCGAUGAAGAACGUAGCGAAAUGCGAUACUUGGUGUGAAUUGCAGAAUCCCGUGAACCAUCGAGUCUUUGAACGCAAGUUGCGCCCGAAGCCAUCUGGCCGAGGGCACGUCUGCCUGGGCGUCACGC